rnacentral:rRNA from 1 species
UGGGGAAUAUUGCACAAUGGGCGCAAGCCUGAUGCAGCCAUGCCGCGUGUAUGAAGAAGGCCUUCGGGUUGUAAAGUACUUUCAGUCGGGAGGAAGGUGGUAAGGUUAAUAACCUUAUCAAUUGACGUUACCGACAGAAGAAGCACCGGCUAACUCCGUGCCAGCAGCCGCGGUAAUACGGAGGGUGCAAGCGUUAAUCGGAAUUACUGGGCGUAAAGCGCACGCAGGCGGUUGAUUGAGUCAGAUGUGAAAUCCCCGGGCUUAACCCGGGAAUUGCAUCUGAUACUGGUCAGCUAGAGUCUUGUAGAGGGGGGUAGAAUGCCAUGUGUAGCGGUGAAAUGCGUAGAGAUGUGGGGGAAUACCGGUGGCGAAGGCGGCCCCCUGGACAAAGACUGACGAUCAGGUGCGAAAGCGUGGGGAGCAAACAGG